GCCGGGUAUGGGUGGCACACACCUGUAAUCCCAGCAGCUUGGGAGGCUGAGGCAGAAGGAUCGCGAGUUCAAAGCCAGCCUCAGCAAUGGCGGAGUACUUAGCAACUCAGUGAGACCCUGUCUCUA
rnacentral:sRNA from 1 species